GGUGGGCGCCAGUGGCAGUCUCUCUUCCCCUGGCCCUGUUCGACCUUUGCAAUCGCAGCUAGCGUUUGUGUAUAUAUAUUUAUCUACAGUUGAUAUAUAUACAGAAGUGCAUCAGGGUGGGGCUGGAGCAAAGAGAAAUCAAAGGGAUUUGCUUGGUGCAGGAGAUGGGAGACGAGGUUGAGAGGAGGAAAGAGGACGACGCAGUGUGUGUACUGAGGGGGGAUGAUGAAAGAGAAAAAGACGAUGACCACUCGCUGGUUCCCCUACUUCCUGGGAUCCCAUUAGCCCCUUCAAGUCGAGAUCCAAAACCACCCAGGGUUAUCUUUGUGCUAGAGAAAGCUUCUCUGGCUCCUGCUUAUGUUGGCAGGAGCUACCAAAUUCUAAAUCCAGAUGAGCAUGCUGAUUUCCUACGGAAAAAGAACAUGAAUCCUUAUGAUCACAGGCCUGAUAUCAUUCACGAGGCUCUCCUUCAAAUUAUGGGUAGUCGACUUUGCAUGGCUGGUGGUGUACAAGCGAUUUAUAUCAAAACUGUUCAAGGGGUUCUCAUUAAGGUUGAGCCACAUACGCACAUUCCAAAAACCUUGGGGCCGUUUUGUGCCAUGAUGUCACAAUUACUGCAGAAGUUGAGUAUUAAAGCAAGGGGUAAGGGUGAGAAACUUCUGCGUCUUGUUGAGAACCCUGUGACCAAGUAUUUACCUUUAAAUUCCCAUGUAAUAGGUCUUUCAUUUAGUUCAAAGAAGGCCGUACACAUACGGGAUUACAUUGGUAAUAUUAACAAUGAUCAAAGUCUUGUUUUCGUGGUUGGUGCAAUGGCUCAUGGUAAAAUUGAUUGUGACUACAUCAACGAUUUUGUGUCAGGUUAUUUCCAUCAGAAUGGUCAUUCUUAAUUGUUUUCAGCCUUGGUACCAUUCCAUUCCAUGCAUCUAUUAGUCAAUUGAGAUGUUUCUGUGCUUCACCAGUGGCUGGUAAAUAAUUUCUGCUUGUAACAUAGUAGUUGUCCACUUGUCCCCACAUGCUUCUCAAGUUUGUCUUAAAUGGCAUGGAUUUCGGCUGAUUUGUGAUAUCUGAUCCGUCAUACGAGAAUCUUAUGCCACAAAAACUGUUCUCGUGUGAUUAUCAUCUCAGCACAUUAGGUUUUCUUCUCUUCUCAGUUUUUGUUAUUUUUAAUUGGCUAAGAAAUGGAAGCCAGUUUGGAGCAAACAGGGAACCUUGGUUUCUUUCCCUGGCCUUCCUUGUUUGAAGAUCUUUGCCUGGCUGAGCAUAGUAGAUUAGGUUGCACUCAGAGGUGUGCGAUUGUGACAUGGUUUUUGUUAUUUUUAAUUGGCUGAGAAACGAAAGCCAGUUUGGAUUAAACGGGAGAAUCUCGGUUUCUUUCCCUGGCCUUCCUUGUUUGAAGAUCUUUGCCUGGCUGAGCAUGGUAGAUUAGUUUGCUCUCAGAGGGGGGGGGAUUGUGAAGCCAACUGGCGCGAGUUGAAACAACAUAAUGGAAGUCGUGGGAGACAGAUUAAAUCGAUUCAACCAACAUUUUGUCCUAUGGGAAAAGCAAACCUACGGUUGAUCCAUCAACAUGGUUUAGCUGGCUGGUUACACUGCACUCUAGUUGACAUGUCAUAUGAGAUAAGUUACUUCUUGUAAUUGCAAUUACGGAAAUGCCUCUUUUACAGCUCAUCAAAACUGCUGCAACAUCGCAAGAGAAUCAGGGGUUCACUAAAAUGACUAAAUGGAAUUAAAUGCAAAGUUGGACAUUCCAGUCCAUGUGCUUCGAUUUAGAACAUCCAUACUGGUGGUGCAAUUAAGGGGAAGGUUAUUUGAGUGGCCACCCUACUAAACAUUACGAUAAUUCAGGAGUUUAAAUGGCCUGGUUGUACGUGGCAUGGAGUCAAAAACACGGACACGGGACAGGGGAUUUUUAAAAAUGGGGACACCAACAUGGCAGGGGACAUGGAAAUAAAUAAUAUUCAUUUGAUACCGUUGGAAACAUAGUUGUAUGUAGAUAGCAUCAUAUAUACAUCAUACUGCAUUUUUAACCCAAAAAAUUGUAGUAAUGCACAUUUAACCCAACAAAACUUUUAAAAAAUGCAUAUUUACCCCUGCCGUGUCCCCAUACGGAUCCCUCCCCAUGAAAAGUUUUAAUUAAGUUUAAUGGACACGCCAGGUGGCGUAUCCUUGGCGUGUCGGAUACGGAUACAGCAACUUCUAGGAGUGCCAGUGCUUCAUAGGCUUUGUUACAAUCUACCCAUGAUCUACCAAAGGUUCAGCAUUGGAAUUAUCCCUAUGUCAGGUUGGAAGAAGAAAGGGCACUUAGCUCUGGCCAACGCAAUAUCUACUGCUUAGUCUUCCUAUAGUCUUUUUUUGACGGCAAAAUUAGUCUUCUUAUAGCCGAUCUGCCAUCAGACCAUUCACUAUUGCUUUGAUCAUCCGACUGCUUCAAUCAAAGCAUUUUGUUUUAAUUUUCCUCGGUCGCCAUCUGGUGCUUCUACUGAACUAUUUCUGGAGUCCUUCAGAAUUCCCUCCGUAAUUCCUUUUGGAUUUCAGUCUUCGAAAGAAUAAAGCGUCUCUGUUCUUCCAUUGAGCGCUGCAGUAUGUUUGAGACGUAUAUGCAUUGCCGUGGAGAGACAACGGAAGAUCCUGUGAAAUGGUGUCAUUGUUUAGGAACACCUGUUCAAGGUUUAUAAGUUAUCAUGCAGCUUGUGGCCUUCCAUUAUGUCAUGGGGUUUGUGUGUGUCGUUUUUUCAAUCUACACCUUUUUUACUUGGAAGGGUUUUUUUUUUUUCUUUUUUCUUUUUUCCAAUCAUUAUGGCGUUAGCUAAUUUAUGUUGGGCCUAGAGUUGUGUAAGACAUAGUUGCCAUUGCUUCUUUUUACGUUGCAAAUUCAAUCUGCAGUUUCAGGAAUUUAGAUGUAUGAUAUUUGUAGCGGAGAUAAUUUCUUGAAUGAUCGUGCUAAA